UGGAUAACACCUGGAAACAGAUGCUAAUACCGGAUAACAACAGAUGAUGCCUAUCAACUGUUUAAAAGAUGGUUCUGCUAUCACUCUUGGAUGGACCUGCGGUGCAUUAGCUAGUUGGUAGGGUAACGGCCUACCAAGGCGAUGAUGCAUAGCCGAGUUGAGAGACUGAUCGGCCACAUUGGGACUGAGACACGGCCCAAACUCCUACGGGAGGCAGCAGAC
rnacentral:rRNA from 1 species